rnacentral:rRNA from 1 species
UACGAGGGGGGCAAGCGUUGUUCGGAAUUAUUGGGCGUAAAGGGCGCGUAGGCGGUGCGGUAAGUCACCUGUGAAAUCCCCAGGCUUAACCUGGGAACUGCGUCUGAUACUGGAUGGCUUGAAUUCGGGAGAGGGAUGCAGAAUUCCAGGUGUAGCGGUGAAAUGCGUAGAUAUCUGGAGGAAUACCGGUGGCGAAGGCGGCAUCCUGAACCGACAUUGACGCUGAGGAGCGAAAGCUAGGGGAGCAAACGGG